AUUACCGAGUUUACAACUCCCAAACCCAAUGUGAACGUUACCAAACUGUUGCCUCGGCGGGAUCUCUGCCCCGGGUGCGUCGCAGCCCCGGACCAAGGCGCCCGCCGGAGGACCAACCAAAACUCUUAUUGUAUACCCCCUCGCGGGUUUUUUUAUAAUCUGAGCCUUCUCGGCGCCUCUCGUAGGCGUUUCGAAAAUGAAUCAAAACUUUCAACAACGGAUCUCUUGGUUCUGGCAUCGAUGAAGAACGCAGCGAAAUGCGAUAAGUAAUGUGAAUUGCAGAAUUCAGUGAAUCAUCGAAUCUUUGAACGCACAUUGCGCCCGCCAGUAUUCUGGCGGGCAUGCCUGUCCGAGCGUCAUUUCAACCCUCGAACCCCUCCGGGGGGUCGGCGUUGGGGAUCGGCCCUCCCUUAGCGGGUGGCCGUCUCCGAAAUACAGUGGCGGUCUCGCCGCAGCCUCUCCUGCGCAGUAGUUUGCACACUCGCAUCGGGAGCGCGGCGCGUCCACAGCCGUUAAACACCCAACUUCUGAAAUGUUGACCUCGGAUCAGG
rnacentral:rRNA from 1 species